rnacentral:rRNA from 1 species
UGGGGAAUAUUGCACAAUGGGCGCAAGCCUGAUGCAGCCAUGCCGCGUGUGUGAAGAAGGCCUUCGGGUUGUAAAGCACUUUCAGCGGGGAGGAAGACGAUAAGGUUAAUAACCUUGUCGAUUGACGUUACCCGCAGAAGAAGCACCGGCUAACUCCGUGCCAGCAGCCGCGGUAAUACGGAGGGUGCAAGCGUUAAUCGGAAUUACUGGGCGUAAAGCGCACGCAGGCGGUCUGUCAAGUCGGAUGUGAAAUCCCCGGGCUCAACCUGGGAACUGCAUUCGAAACUGGCAGGCUAGAGUCUUGUAGAGGGGGGUAGAAUUCCAGGUGUAGCGGUGAAAUGCGUAGAGAUCUGGAGGAAUACCGGUGGCGAAGGCGGCCCCCUGGACAAAGACUGACGCUCAGGUGCGAAAGCGUGGGGAGCAAACAGG